CGCAUUCCUCAAAUUCAUUUUUCCUUUGAAUUACUCAUUUUUAAUUUCGCACCGGAAAAUUUUCUAGGAGAAGUUCGAAUCUGUUCCGUUCGGAUAUUGAUCGGUCUUGGUUUGACAUGGUUUACGUGUUACUGGUUCCCGGAAGAGUCAAUUUCUCCAUUAGCUAAACCCUUUAUUACCCUAACUUUGGACUCGUAUUUUGUUUGUACACAAUCAACGGAGGCCCCCCGACAUAUGUUGCAAUGUCUUCAAUAG
rnacentral:rRNA from 1 species